AGAGUUUGAUCCUGGCUCAGAACGAACGCUGGCGGCAUGCCUAACACAUGCAAGUCGAACGAGACCUUCGGGUCUAGUGGCGCACGGGUGCGUAACACGUGGGAAUCUGCCCUUCGGUUCGGAAUAACAGUUAGAAAUGACUGCUAAUACCGGAUGAUGACGAAAGUCCAAAGAUUUAUCGCCGAAGGAUGAGCCCGCGUAGGAUUAGGUAGUUGGUGGGGUAAUGGCUCACCAAGCCGACGAUCCUUAGCUGGUCUGAGAGGAUGAUCAGCCACACUGGGACUGAGACACGGCCCAGACUCCUACGGGAGGUGGCAGUGGGGAAUAUUGGACAAUGGGCGAAAGCCUGAUCCAGCAAUGCCGCGUGAGUGAUGAAGGCCUUAGGGUUGUAAAGCUCUUUUACCAGGGAUGAUAAUGACAGUACCUGGAGAAUAAGCUCCGGCUAACUCCGUG
rnacentral:rRNA from 1 species